rnacentral:rRNA from 1 species
UUCGCAUUAUUUAUUUUUGUAUAUUAAGGUCACUUAGAUUUAGUAUUAUGUUUUAGUAUUGGUUAAAUUUGUGCCAGCAGCCGCGGUUAUACAUAGAGUGCGUUUGAGUAUUUUUGGUUGGCAGUUUUAGUUUGGUUAAAUUGUGUAGGGUCACAUUGUUUAUUGUUAUGUGGUGGAAUUGUUUAUUUUUGGUUAUGUCUUUUUUAUUAUUUUGUAGGCUGUGAAAUCUUUGGUGGAGACUAGGAUUAGAUACCCUAUUAUUUUAGAUGUUAAUUUUUAUGGCCUGAGUAGUAUUAGUUAUGUUCUUGAAACUUAAAGAAUUUGGCGGUAUCUCAUUCCUUUCAGAGGAAUCUGUCUCGUUAUCGAUAGUCCGCGUUGGACCUUGCUUGAUUUUUUUUGUUUGUAUACCGCCGUUAGUGAUGAUGAUCUUUUUAGGGUUAAUAAUUUUCUUGACUUUUUAUUUAGUUUUAUUUCAGGUCAAGGUGCAGCUUUUUGAUUAAGUUGAUGAUGGAUUACAUUUAUUUUUGGUAUUUGGAUUAUUGAUUGUAAUUUUGAUGUGAAAUUGGAUUUGAUUGUAAUUUUUUGAAGAUUGUAUUAAUGAUUUAUGGUUCUGGGAUAUGCACACAUCGCCCGUCGCUCUCAUUGUUUAUUGGAGGUGAGAUAAGUCGUAACAAAGUGGCUGUACCGGAAGGUGUAGCUGGAGUGUUUAU